CAUUUGCACUAACGAUUGAAACGGCAUCCUUUUUUGAGGCACGAGAAAAAGAUAUAGUGAAAAGCGUGGUUUAAU
rfam:Winogradskyella psychrotolerans RS-3 Winogradskyella_psychrotolerans_contig_9, whole genome shotgun sequence.